ACCUACUCCGCGUCCGAAUGCCCUCAACGGCCUACGUCCUCCAUCAGUCCGACCCCCUCCAGCAUCCACCCCUCCUCAAGCUACAACAAUGGUUGCUUCUGUUCCACUUGAGACAUAUUGACUUCCUGCAACAUUGUUCCAGACUAGCCGUGUUAGUACAACAGAAUGUACCUCGGGAAAAUAACCACCUUGUAAAAGUAGUUCUGAAGCACCAGCACAUACAUUCCUAUUUGAAGAAAGAAAGCUUCGGAAAAAAUAUGCUACAAAUUUCAGGAACUCGUUUACAGCUUUCGGAUGGAGAUGAGCAGUAUGGAAUUAAUACACCCAGUGCAAACAAUAUAUGAGACCCGAAGUGCACCAGAAAUCUGCUUUGCGACUUAGGCCAUCAGAAAUCACAAUGAGGUUCCACACCGGAGCCCAAAAGAAGUCAAAAUUUCUGGGUUGCUUCUCCCCACCGCCAGCCUGGUCCGCAGUGCAAUUUGGCUGGGCGGAGAAGCAAAAAAUUGCCAGCUUCCCGAGCUUCUUGGGUUAGAAACGAAGAGGAAAAGGAAAGACAACGGCCAGCGGUCACGAGAUGAAUUGUGCCUGCUACUUCAGAAACACCAAUACACCUGAACGGAGGAACUUACUUCAUGUGCUUGAGCCGGUGAUGCAACUUUACCGGUGUCAAUGGCCCACACUGGUUCGUGCGCGACGACCACGUUGACCCAGUCCUUGAUCUUGUUUGCAAAUAAAACAAUCCUCUCAUCCUACACCUUUCAGGUGACAAGAUAUUCUAUACAAAGUCUGCAAUGGUUGCUGAAAACAGGAAUAGGAAGCAAAACAUAUGGAUUUAUCUAAUAAUCAACAAUAGAUGAGAGAAAUUUGCGA